UGGGGGCUCGUCUAAUGGCAGGACAGCUGACUCUGGAUCAGCUAGUAGAGGUUCGAAUCCUUUGCCCCCAGC
rnacentral:tRNA from 1 species